rnacentral:tRNA from 1 species
GCGCCCAUAGUUUAAUGGAUAGAACGCGGGUUUGCGGAACCCGUGAUCCAGGUCCGAUUCCUGGUGGGCGCACCA